GGUGUUGUAGACUAAUUGGUUAGGUCGGCUCGAUGGAAUGGAUGAGAUGCGGGUUCAAACCCCACCAUUGCCC